CGUGGGUAACCUGCCCAAGAGACUGGGAUAACACCUGGAAACAGAUGCUAAUACCGGAUAACAACACUAGACGCAUGUCUAGAGUUUAAAAGAUGGUUCUGCUAUCACUCUUGGAUGGACCUGCGGUGCAUUAGCUAGUUGGUAAGGUAACGGCUUACCAAGGCAAUGAUGCAUAGCCGAGUUGAGAGACUGGUCGGCCACAUUGGGACUGAGACACGGCCCAAACUCCUACGGGAGGCAGCAG
rnacentral:rRNA from 1 species